rnacentral:rRNA from 1 species
CCUACGGGAGGCAGCAGUAGGGAAUAUUGCUCAAUGGGGGAAACACUGAAGCAGCAACGCCGCGUGGAGGAUGAAGGUUUUCGGAUUGUAAACUCCUUUUGUUAGAGAAGAUAAUGACGGUAUCUAACGAAUAAGCACCGGCUAACUCCGUACCAGCAGCCGCGGUAAUACGGAGGGUGCAAGCGUUACUCGGAAUUACUGGGCGUAAAGAGCGCGUAGGCGGGAUAGCAAGUCAGAUGUGAAAUCCUAUGGCUUAACCAUAGAACUGCAUUUGAAACUGUUAUUCUAGAGUAUGGGAGGGGUAGGUGGAAUUCUUGGUGUAGGGGUAAAAUCCGUAGAGAUCAAGAGGAAUACUCAUUGCGAAGGCGACCUGCUAGAACCUCACUGACGCUGAUGCGCGAAAGCGUGGGUAGCAAACAGGAUUAGAUACCCUAGUAGUC